rnacentral:rRNA from 1 species
AAUACGUAGGGGGCGAGCGUUGUCCGGAUUUACUGGGCGUAAAGCGCGUGUAGGCGGCAGGUCAAGUCCGGGGUGAAAGGCGGGGGCUCAACCCCCGAGCUGCGCCGGAAACUGACCCGCUUGAGUGUCGGAGAGGGGAGUGGAAUUCUCGGUGUAGCGGUGAAAUGCGUAGAGAUCGAGAGGAACACCCGUGGCGAAGGCGGCUCCCUGGCCGAACACUGACGCUGAGACGCGAAAGCGCGGGGAGCGAACGGGA